UUCAUUCUAUCCUCUUUGAUCAUUCAAAAUAGUUCAUCUACAUCUUUUUUACUUUCAUAUUCUAGUUGGUGCCUCUUUACAUUGCUCAGACAAGUGAAACACAGAUAAUAUUUUAAAAAUUAUUUCUGUGCUUGGUGUGGUCUAAAUAUUCCAUGAAUUGUGGGACAGUCUUUCUUUCAGAAAUAUUCAGAACACAUCUGUUCUCUGGUGUCCGAUGACAUGGUCCUCAGAUUUUGGUCUUGGUUUCUACCAGUAUUUCCACGUUGUUGUCUCCACAAUAAAAGAAAUACAUUUUCACAGUGCAAGUAUACAGCUCUUCUGGCUAUAUAAAACAAGAAUUGACAAACAAAAUGUGGCUUCAGACUUGACUGUAAGGACUAGCAGUGCUUAUCUUCAUAUGACAGCAGUAUCAUUUACUAAUUACUUAUUACUACAUUUUGUUAGUACUUAGAAAUAUGGUUUUGUGGAUCUGUAAUCUCAUGUAAUGCAAUUAUAAACAUACGACAAAAUAAUUUGGUCCUAAGGACCUCUGUUCAGUAACGACAGUACCAAGUUUGCCAUUUCAUGUUUUUCCUAAUGAUUUAAGUCACCUUUCAAAAUGGAAAAAAAUGUUAGUUCUAUUUUAUUUUUGAUAGAAAUCACAUCCAAAGCUGACCUAUUUCUCAUUGUUAUACAUUCCUUCUUAUUUUUGAGGUAGUAGGUAUGAACAUACUAAAAUAGUAUUAGUCUGACAUACUGACUGUGCCAUAAAAAUAAAUAAUGUAUUUUGAGUAGAUUGUUAUAUUCA
rnacentral:lncRNA from 1 species